rnacentral:rRNA from 1 species
CCUACGGGAGGCAGCAGUGGGGAAUAUUGGACAAUGGGGGCAACCCUGAUCCAGCCAUGCCGCGUGUGUGAAGAAGGCCCUCGGGUUGUAAAGCACUUUCAGUGAGGAAGAACGCCUGGUGGUUAAUACCCAUCAGGAAAGACAUCACUCACAGAAGAAGCACCGGCUAACUCCGUGCCAGCAGCCGCGGUAAUACGGAGGGUGCGAGCGUUAAUCGGAAUUACUGGGCGUAAAGCGCGCGUAGGUGGCUUGAUAAGCCGGUUGUGAAAGCCCCGGGCUCAACCUGGGAACGGCAUCCGGAACUGUCAAGCUAGAGUGUAGGAGAGGAAGGUAGAAUUCCCGGUGUAGCGGUGAAAUGCGUAGAGAUCGGGAGGAAUACCAGUGGCGAAGGCGGCCUUCUGGACUGACACUGACACUGAGGUGCGAAAGCGUGGGUAGCAAACAGGAUUAGAUACCCUGGUAGUC